rnacentral:rRNA from 1 species
UACGAAGGGUGCAAACGUUGCUCGGAAUCAUUGGGCGUAAAGCGCACGUAGGCGGCCCUGCAAGUCGGAUGUGAAAUCCCACGGCUCAACCGUGGACGUGCAUUCGAAACUGCUUGGCUCGAGUAUGGAAGAGGGUCGCGGAAUUCCCGGUGUAGAGGUGAAAUUCGUAGAUAUCGGGAGGAACACCAGUGGCGAAGGCGGCGACCUGGGCCGAUACUGACGCUGAGGAGCGAAAGCGUGGGGAGCGAACAGG